rnacentral:rRNA from 1 species
GACGAACGCUGGCGGCGUGCCUAAUACAUGCAAGUAGAACGCUGAAGGAGGAGCUUGCUCUUCUGGAUGAGUUGCGAACGGGUGAGUAACGCGUAGGUAACCUGCCUGGUAGCGGGGGAUAACUAUUGGAAACGAUAGCUAAUACCGCAUAAGAGUAGAUGUUGCAUGACAUUUGCUUAAAAGGUGCAAUUGCAUCACUACCAGAUGGACCUGCGUUGUAUUAGCUAGUUGGUGGGGUAACGGCUCACCAAGGCGACGAUACAUAGCCGACCUGAGAGGGUGAUAGGCCACACUGGGACUGAGACACGGCCCAGCAUCCUACGGGAGGCAGAAGUAGGGAAUCUUCGGCAAUGGACGGAAGUCUGACCGAGCAACGCCGCGUGAGUGAAGAAGGUUUUCGGAUCGUAAAGCUCUGUUGUAAGAGAAGAACGAGUGUGAGAGUGGAAAGUUCACACUGUGACGGUAUCUUAACAGAAAGGGACGGCUAACUACGUG